GGGACAGAUAGAGAAAAAGUCACAGGCUACAAAGUAUAUAUUCUCUUUCCCUCAUUGUAGGUCAGAAAAGAAGAUGAGGUUGGAGGCUUUCUUACUCUGCGAUGAUAGCAUUUGCUUCUGUGAUCUUCAGAUAGAUUCAGCAAGACUCUAUCAGAUUGGUUUCACUAAUAAUUUUCCAAAUGGCAACUCAUAUACAACUUACAAGAAAAAUACCAGGGUUUUAACCUGUACAACGAAACUGAAGAGUGCUACAAAUGAAGAAGGAAUGGAAAAUGAAUAAACCUUUAAAAAACUGGGCACUGGGAAGCUACAUUGCUUUGAACUUUGAGACACUGUGGUAUUGGGCGAUGCCACCUGACGGGAACACUGUCUGAUUGCUUGGCAGCCUUCUGUAAGUAUCUAUCAUAAUCUCAGAUACUAAAAGUAAACAAAAACAUUGCUAUACUACUGAUUAUUAUGAUUCUAUAAAACUAUAGAUUUUCAAUGUGAGAAAAACAGUAAGGAG
rnacentral:lncRNA from 1 species